rnacentral:lncRNA from 1 species
AAAAUAUCCCCUCUUCUGCAAUCUUUAACCCAUUUUGAACAAUCCUCAAAGUGUCCGGACUACACGAGUUAACCCCCUGUAAUCACAAUAGGAACAACAACAACAAUCUUUACAAAGAUUGAUAGAAAUCUUGAUCAACAGAUGAGCACCAGAAUAUGCAGGGUAUGAUCAGCCAGUAAGCACAGAAGUCUUUCUCCUUCAAACAACCUCUUCAAAGAUAGAUCACCACGGUCUUCUUGAUGAGUUCUUGGAGAAAAUUCUCAGAGAUCACAAUCUCUAAAUCACAAAUGAAAGUCUUAGAGAUUUUCCAAAGUCUUUGUGAUCAACUGAGGCAUGUCUAUUUAUAGUUUUCUAUAAAUCAGACGUUCCUAUAGUCGACUAAGCUACUAAUCAAGUCGACUGUUCUCAGACAGAUAUAAUAGUUAAGUCAAAGAGUAGCAGUCAACAACUAACAAAUUGAUUUUGCAAUUAAUACAGUUGACUAUCAUCAAAGCAAUAACUAACUUUUGAAAUAUAGUCGUUAUUGUUCACAACAUAACAGAAUUUUAAACAAAACAACUAACUAAGUCGGAUCCACUACGCAUAUAGUCGACUUAGGCACAUCAACAUAGUUUGAAAAUAUUUUCAAUGAAAAAUCACUCACAGCAC